AAAUUUCUCAAUAGCAACAUGGGCAAGAGGGAGACAACUGAUAAAUAACUUCCAAUCUAGAAUUUAUUCCCAAACUGUCAGGAAAAGCACUCCUGAAGAGGAAACAGAUAAUGAUGACUUCAGGAAUACAACCCCUCAAAAGCACAUACACAAUGCCGAGAAAUAAACCAGUCGACACUGAGAGGCAAAUAACAGUGAAGAGCAUGGGCUCUAAAGCCAGGUAGCCUGGGUGUGAGCGCCAAACUUCUUAGCCACGACACCAAGAACACGGUACUGAUCCUCUCUAUGCCUCGGGCAGCUCAUUUGUAAAAUGGGGAUUAAAGACUAGCUGGCUCUUA